rfam:Knoellia aerolata DSM 18566 contig133, whole genome shotgun sequence.
GGCUUUCUUCGCGGCGGAGCUCGACCGCCCCUCGACACGCUGAUCGCCUACGUCGACCAGCACAAGGAGGAGUUCGGGGUCGAGCCGAUCUGCACCGUCCUGACCGACGCGGACGCCAAGAUCGCCCCG